AUUGAACGCUGGCGGCAUGCCUUACACGUGCAAGUCGAACGGCAGCACGGGUGCUUGCCCCUGGUGGCGAGUGGCGAACGGGUGAGUAAUACAUCGGAACAUGUCCUGUAGUGGGGGAUAGCCCGGCGAAAGCCGGAUUAAUACCGCAUACGAUCUACGGAUGAAAGCGGGGGACCUUCGGGCCUCGCGCUAUAGGGUUGGCCGAUAGCUGAUUAGCUAGUUGGUGGGGUAAAGGCCUACCAAGGCGACGAUCAGUAGCUGGUCUGAGAGGACGACCAGCCACACUGGGACUGAGACACGGCCCAGACUCCUACGGGAGGCAGCAGUGGGGAAUUUUGGACAAUGGGCGAAAGCCUGAUCCAGCAAUGCCGCGUGUGUGAAGAAGGCCUUCGGGUUGUAAAGCACUUUUGUCCGGAAAGAAAUCCUUGGCUCUAAUACAGUCGGGGGAUGACGGUACCGGAAGAAUAAGCACCGGCUAACUACGUG
rnacentral:rRNA from 1 species